rnacentral:SRP_RNA from 1 species
CAAGGGACCUCUGGUUGGGAGACUAGCCCUCUCCUGUUAACUCUAACGGGCUACAAGGGUGACCACAGUCCAAAGGCGGAACAACCCCAUGGUCAAGUCCGGGUUGCCGACUGCGAAGCCUCGUCUCCAGGGACAGCAGGCAGUUCGAACUAGGUGAGGCGGGGAACCGAGCAGCCUUAAGGGAUGCUUGCGGUGCUCUCGAGCUCUCGGGGUGGAGAAGGCAAUUUGGGCUAACUUGACUGGAAGGAUUGCCUCAACUUUGGGCGUGCCCCUUG